GGGGGUCGUGGGGGAUUUUGGGGUCCCCUUCAGCCCCUCCGUGCCCCCCCCCAGAUCUGCCAGCCCCUCCCGUUAAGCCCCACCCGGGGGUCCCUGUGGCGGCUCCUGCACCGGACCAGCCUCGUGCACCCUGAGGUCGAGUUUCAUUUCUGUGUCAGCAUCGAUGGGAAGGUCACGUCCCGAACCCUCAGCCCCGAGCCCCCCUGGGCACAGGCGGGAACCAGGCUGAGGGUGCAGAGCCGGCACUUCACUGGGCCGCCCUGCAGCCGUCUCCGCCCGUGCCCGGGGCCGCCGCUGCCGCUGCCGGUACCGGCCCCGCUGGCGGCCGCGGGCUUCGGGGGGGACCUGCAGCUGCUCCCGGUCAGCGCCCUCAGCCCCGCCGGGACCCCNACACCCCGGGGGGCGGGGCCUGAGGCCACGCCCCUCCGCCGUCACCACGGCAACGCCCCAUGGCCACGCCCCCUCUGCUCGCUGCCAU
rnacentral:lncRNA from 1 species